rnacentral:tRNA from 1 species
UCUAAUGUGGCAGAGUUAAUGUAGUGAGCUUAAAAUUCAUCAAUAAAUAAAUUUAUUUCUUUAGAA